rnacentral:misc_RNA from 1 species
UGGCCAUGGCUGAGACCCUGAAG